GUUGCCAUCAGGAAUGCUGGGACGUCUAAGGAACUGCCUACGCAAGUAGUGAGGAAGCGGGGAUGACGUCAAAUCAGCACGGCCCUUACGUCCAGGGCUACACACGUGCUACAAUGGCCGAUACAGAGGGCAGCUACCUGGUGACAGGAUGCAAAUCUCCAAAGUCGGUCUCAGUUCGGAUCGGAGUCUGCAACCCGACUCCGUGAAGUUGGAUUCGCUAGUAAUCGCGCAUCAGCCAUGGCGCGGUGAAUACGUUCCCGGGCCUU
rnacentral:rRNA from 1 species